GCCCUCUUCUGGUGUGUGUCUGAAGACAGUGACAGUGUGCUCAUACAUAAAUUAGAAGUUUCUAGCAAUUUUGUCCCAGAGGUAGGGUCAUAGACUCAUUCUUGGCAUAGAUUUAGAAUGGGGCCUUUUACCCUUUUAUUACACAAAUACAAGGAGGCAGGCAUGUUGGUUGAAUUUAUUAAACAUGCCAGUUUGUCUUUUAAACACAUUUUGGGGGUUAUUGGCCUUAAGUAUCUUUAAUUAUGUGACUGUCUUAAGCAGAGUCAAUGAGCAUUUUAGACGUUUUCCUUGAAUACAUUCGGUUAAUACCAUUUUCCAGAAUUAUCCAUGCAGUUACCAUUGUCCCUCCUACAAUUUAGAGUUUCUCCUUCUGUUACGGAUUUCCUUUGGCUUUCCACUGUGCUUAGUAUCGUCUAACACGUGAUCAUACACUGUACAGUUCACAUAAGUGCUACCCGGUGAGCCAAGGGUCAGCGUCAUUCUCCCGUGUUUCUCAAGUGCUUACAGAGAGCUGGCUUGUAGAAGCCGCUAGUAGUGUUGAAUAAAUGGUUAACUGAUCUUUGUCUUAAAAGAACAAACACUCCUACAUUUGUGCAUAUUUUGCAGGUCAUGAUUAUUUUAAAUAUUUUAUUAUAGAAGUCAGUUUUUCCUGUCCCUAAUAUUUCGGUAUUUACAUAUUAUAUUUCAAAUAUCAUCAAAUGGCCUCUUCACCGACUUUGCUGAGGACUUUUACUUUAAAACCCACAAAAAUUUAAGGUGAUUUGAAUAGCUUUGGACAGUUUUUUUUUUGGUGGCAUUUUGAUCUGUAGGUUUUGUUUUAUCUUCCUAACAAUGUUUUAACAGUGAGUUUUCUUUUGUCUUCGUAAUGUUUAAGAAAUGUUCCUUCAUCCCAUCUGUAUCUCUCUCAGUUCUGUGCUGCCGUGGGAGUUGGGUCAGAACAUUUAUUGGAGACCUCAGGGGUGUACUAGUGCCCUGCCUCGUGUGGACUGCUGACCCUUGGAGGGCAGGGAUAAAGGAGAACGUGGGAGGACUGAGGACAGGUGAGUGAGUCUGAAGACACUGACUUAUGGCUCCCAAGAGCCUUCUAGUCCUGCUGAACUUCUUAGCACACAAUUUCAAACUUGUUCUGAGUGACUUAACCUUGCUUAUCCAUUGUCAUGGUGGAAACCUGUGUAGCCUCCAAAAGCCUGGUGGCAGGGCUUUGGCAGGAGAUGCCAAGUGUUCUAAUCACCAGUGCGAAUUGAAUGAAACAUGGGGACUGAAUGGUUGAAUGGUUAUCCCCUCGGAAUUUAACAGAAAUACCUUUCUGCCUUUAUAAAUGUAGGUGCGUCCUAGGUUCAUGUUUUUGCCUGAUUCUUGAAAGGUGCCUGCUGACUACUGGAACAGGCCUGACUGGGCUGUGUGUGCGUUUUCUUUUAACAGAAUAACUGGUUCUCCGUUGAGAGUUCAUCUUUGUCUAGCUCAGGGAGAGUGGAGUUCUAGGUUCAGAGGUGAGAGAGAAAUCUGGAGAUCUUUUGGGUAUCUGUUUUAGCAUCUGAUGUGAGAGGUCUGGUCAGGAUCCAGAAGAUAGGCUUGUUCUAGGGAGCCCAGGGUAAUGUCUUACAACAGUCCUGAAGGGACUUAUGUCUGCCUGAAUGGAACUGAGGUGAUGGAAGUUGAGAAGGCUUGAGAAAUUUCUACAGAUGGUUAUGGGGAACUUGGAGAAUUGAAGAAAACCAGUGGUUUAGAGUAAGGCCAUUUGCCAGAGGCGAAGGACAUCUGUGGAGAACAUGAGAAUUCCCUUAGAGAUCUCUGAAAGUAGAGGGGUUGGGUAGCCUUGUCACAACUUGCAGAUGGGUACUCAGAAUGCUUGCCAUAUGAAGGUAGCGAGACCUGACACUUUUGCCUCGAAAGCUGGUGACAAAAUGUUUAUGCCACCAGUAGCUGUGGUCUCCCUCUGCCUUACACUUCCAUAGGUAGCCCAUUUUCAAGACACAAAUAGAUGUCCAGAGAAGUACAUGGGUUUUCUUUCUCUUUCAUAGAACUUGGCCUUUGCUGUCCUGCCAGGCACUUAAGACAUUUCCCAUAGGGGAUGAGAACUUAGCUUCUCUAGGUGUCCCUUUCAGAUUUUCUUCUUGGGGUCCUGGAAGAGAAUGAGAGAGCCCUGUGUACCUCAGACCACAGAGGGUAAGGACUUUCUUUCCCAGGGCAGUGGGAUGACACUAGAGAAUGGGCUAGCAUGGGCUAGCCAUGGCUAUUUUAGGACAGUCAAGACUGCUUAUUAGCUUGGCCCUAUUUCUCUGGAUGAAGAAGUUGAGAAUUUGCCCUUUCUGUUCUAUGGGAACAACUGAAACACCCUGAACUUUGGAAACACUGACCUCCUCAGGUGAUUCUGGGUGGAUUUAGAGAACUUUUCUCAGCAGGACUUGAAACUUACUCUCCUUCAGAGUACUGUUGAGUCCUGGCAAAGUAGGUGGCCUGGUGGGCACAAAAACAGAGGGUCCCGAGUGCUCGUGAAACUGGAAAUGGAAUCUAGGGGAACACACCAUAUUAUGGGAGUCAGUCGAUAGACAAGACUUAACUCCAUUACUUUUCCCAAAAUGUACCAUACCGAAUGUGAAAUGACCAUGACGAUGUGGACUAUCUUCAUGAAAGUUUGUCUCCUCUUUCUGGGGCAUACUUCUGUGUGAGUCUCACUCCAAAGAGCUUUCAUUAUAACCGAUAAUGGAGAGGCGCUUUGACACCAGGAUGAGGUAUUUCUGUAUCUGAACAGCUUCCUUAAUCUUUUCAUUCUUGUAGGUAGGAUGUGAGAAUCAUCCUAGCAGGAUGUUAUAAAGCACUGAGGAUAUGUUAGCUUAACUAACUUCUCUCAUGAAUAAAAUCAGCUAAGGAAUGCUUAACCGACUUAGUUUCCACAAGCCACGCACUUCACUCUGUCUGAAGACCUGUGGGUAAAUUCAUAGCCUUAAAAAGUGUGUGACGCUUGGCGUUUUGUAGUCAGGCAGGGGCCAAUGGCAUGGAAAACUGGAAGUAGCUUGUGUGGUGUUGUUGUUGCCUGACAUGGCUGUGGUGGCUGCUUGGACUGCACAGAGUCACACACCCGUCAGUGAUGGGGACAGAGCUCCAGCCUGACCUCCUGACUCAGGCUGUGACUCACACACAUGCCGUUUUGUACACUACCAGACAAGCUCCCAACUCGAGCAUUCAGGAUGUUGCUGUAGAGUGAGAUGUAGGAGGCCACACUUGCACUCAGAUGUUUAAUUCCUAAGAGACGAUGUGUGAGAGAAGCACCGGACGCCAGGCUUCGAAUGCUACCUCAUGACUGAGAAGCAUCAUUCUGGCACACCGUACUCCCCUUGGUUGUCCCACUGAGAGUUAAUGAGGCACACGUGGCUUUGGUACUCAGAAAACCUUGACACACACUGAAUAUUUUUUUUCCCUGUUUCUCUUCUUUCUAGGCCUUUGUGGCAAACAGUAGAUGUUUAAAAACAAGCUAAUGGUACAUGCUGUGUUAGCUUCUUAUGGAAAGUUAUGGAAGGGAAUGAGAGAGAAGCUCUCACACAUAACUCACUCUAGAGAGCCCCAGUCACCCCCAGGAAAUGCAAACCCUGCUUCCUGGGCUCCCCUCUUAACGCCAGGUCAUCCCAAGGGACACCUGUUUUCCUCAAACCCACUUCCCUGACAGGUUGAUGCUGGCUGAACAUUUUGCAAGACCUGGGCUAGGUCUUGUUAAUUUCAUAUUAUCCCUGCCACCUACCCCGAGUUUCAUCAUGUUUAUUUAGUGAAUACACAGUAAAAAGUCUUAAAAAUGCCCCUGAUUAAUAUAUUUUGGCAGCGAGAAAGGAGACAAAUUAACCAAGCUUUUCCAAUCUCAUCCAAAGUUAACUCGCAAACUCCAUUUUAAGGAAGGGCUUCCUGUGAAGGCUGCCUUGGAAAGCAUUGUGGGCCAAUUCCCCAACCUGUAAUAAACUAUAUGUAUAAAGAUAGCAGUGUUGUUAUACAAUUUAAUUAGUGCAUCACUCAGACAUUUGGACCAAUGCCUGGCUCUUUUCCUGCACGUUCAUUCAGCUUUUAGUCUAACUCCCGCGUGAAAUAAACAAAAAGGCUAAUUGCUUUUGGAUUUUAGCACCGGGUGAAAUACCUGGAUUCAUUAUGUGAAUCAUAUUUUAUAGGUAGAUUAAAGGUUCUAUUGGCAAAUGAAAAAUUCUACGAUGACAGCUGUAACGUUCAAAGGCAAGGCAAUGGAAAGGCCCGUGCUCCCACAGGCAGCAUAUGGACCCAUCUGACAUGCUCCUGGUUCUCAUAGCAGGGUAAAUGUUUGCACACUGAUGAGGACAUUGCUCCUGGCUGGGAAGAAUUUGUGUCAUGGCUCUGAAGCAAUGAUGGGCUGGUAAAGGUUUAAGGAUUUGUGUCCAUCAGGAAAACAAAACAAAAAACAAACCAAACCAAAAACCAAAACAAACCCCCUUUUGUUUGUAAGUUCAGACCGCAGCUGAUCUUAAGGAGUGGGGACCUGACUCUCCCCAGUCCUCUAGCCAGUGCUUCCUGGGGCAUGAGGUGGAGGGAAGGCCUGGUUUCAGAGGCCAGAGCUUGCUUUUAAUAAUCUCUCCAAAAUACAGAUGUUGGUGUGGGGAGUUCUGGAGCGGACCCCUUGUGAGCAUGUUAGGACCCAGCAAACCGGAAUGCCUUCUCAGCUUCCUGAAGAACAAGGCAGGUGGAUGAAGAGGGGUUGCCCCUGACAGCCCUGCUCCUGACCUUGCUCAAGGAAGACCUUCAAUACCCACCUCCAUCUGACUGAGUUCUGUUAAGGAAGAUAACACUCACAUCUUUGGCUCUCUUCACGAGUGGAGUAAGCCUUCCAUUCUUCAAAGGGAGAACUCCCAGAAGCCAGCAGUGCCCUUGACAAAACCAGCUCAAACUCAAGCUGACAAGCACUUGACUGGGACCAUCACAUCAUUCUUCAGUGACAGGGUCCUGAGCAAGAGGGGCCGGGGAUCAGAGGUAAAGAAGAUAAAACAGAGUAAUGCAUUUGAUUUUGAUGAGGCCCAAUGAAAUACACAGGAGCAAACAAGGUCUUUGGGAAAACGAACUCAGAAUAGCUACUUCCAGCUCGUAUCCAAAGGGGAUAGAAUCAAGAAGAAAAGAGUCCGUGGCAUGCUCAGAAAUUUACUGGAAAGAGUCAAGCUGAGAAAACCAUUCAACUGCAAAGACACACUACCUUACCUGGGUGAGGAAGGAUAACUUGGAGAGGAACUGAGAUCCCAAAUUACAGAGCCAGGAACCAUGGAGGAUCCAAGGGACUUCCAACGUUCAGAAGAUGGCUUUCUCAAAUCAAGAAGACCCUCACCAGAACCUGCUGGUAGCCAAUGAGAGUUUCUAGGCUCUGAAACUGUAUUGUUGUGCUCGGAAUGCUGCAGCCUCCAUCUUGAGACUCCACCCAACACCAAUACAGGCAAGAGGAGCAGAGGGUGUCCAACUCCUACACAUGGGCCGCUAAACUUCCCCCAGCCAACCAAAAAGCUGGUUUUUAGUUAAAAAUACUGUCUGCUGAUAAAAGAAAUAAGGAUGAGUGUAUCAUUCAACCCUCAUUGGAGAAGCUUCCUCCUGCAGUAGAUGGGAAUUAGCAGAGACCAACAACUGGACAUAAGUAAUGAGUGAGAGACUUGGAGGCCCUCAGUCCCACAUGGGAGGUCUUCGUCAAAUUCCUUCCCUGAAGGCUUAGGGAGCUAUGUAGAUGAGGAGACAGAAAGAUCGUAAGAGCCAGAGAUGGCGGGUGAUUCCAAGGAACAAUGUCUUCCAGACACAACAGGACUGAUCUACAUGUAAGUUCACAGAGACUGUGAAGCCCACAAAACCUGCACAAGUUCAAACAAGACAAAAUCCCAGCACCGAGAAGGGGAAAUGGACCCAGGUAGAGUCCUAGCCCUAACUAAAGAGCUAUUUGCAAGUGAUGUUUACUGGGAAAGGGAAAAUCCAUUUUCUCUCGUGGAGUGUCACUGGGCAUAUCAGUCA
rnacentral:sRNA from 1 species